rnacentral:rRNA from 1 species
UACAGAGGGGGCAAGCGUUGUUCGGAAUUACUGGGCGUAAAGGGCGCGUAGGCGGCCUGUUAAGUCGAACGUGAAAUCCCCGGGCUCAACCCGGGAACUGCGUCCGAUACUGGAUGGCUUGGAUUUGGGAGAGGGAUGCGGAAUUCCAGGUGUAGCGGUGAAAUGCGUAGAUAUCUGGAGGAACACCGGUGGCGAAGGCGGCAUCCUGGACCAAUAUUGACGCUGAGGAGCGAAAGCCAGGGGAGCAAACGGG